rnacentral:snRNA from 1 species
ACAUAUACUAUGACACAUAUAAAAUUGGAAAGAUACAGAGAUUAGCAUGGCCUUUGUGCAAGGAUGACACUAAAUAAAAUUGGAACAAUACAAGAUUUG